UGGAUAUGUAAGGUAGGUGUGGGCACUUCCGGCCUUUAGCUCCUGGCUCCGUUUUCUUCCAACCUUUGGCAAACAUGACAAUCCAUUAACCAAGAAAGACUCUUAUCAAAGCCAGCUAUCACCCAGUCUGCAAACUACCCAGGGCUAGCUGGAAGGCGCACAGGUGGUGAGACAUUUUACAAGCACGCUCUCGUUCUGUCCAUGAAUCAGAAUUCACUUGGGCUUCUUCCCUUUCAAAUCUCCUCUCUUUUUGGAAACGCCUGUUGACUUUCUGGUAACUGUGCACUGUUGUAGGGGAAAGGUUUUACUUCCCACUCUUGUUUUACACUGUUGACUGAAGUCGUAAAGGCACAGGAUAUGAGAGAGGGGGAGCCCUGUGGAGAUUAUCUGGUCUAGCCUCCUUGUUUUAUGGGUGAGAAAACUGUCAGAGGGACUUUGAUUUUGAACUUUAUGAGGCCUAUUUGUGUUGACAUGAAUGAUUGCUCUGUUGCUGAGACUGCUCUGCAAGGGAAGGAUUUAAAAGGUGCCAGUGUUCUCCCUGACAGGAGGGUGCGGAGGUACCAGCCCUGCUGUUCUUACGUCCUGUGCCACACCUACCACUGGAUACAGUAUAAUGCAACAUUGCUACCUGGUCAAAGCCUGCCAAGCCAGAGUACCCACCGCUGUGAGAUGUGGUGACCCUCUUAGGGAAGAAAUCAUGGCGGUCCCUUCCUUCAACAGAGAGGACUGAAGAUCACCAAAGCCGUCAGCAGCACCACUGUUCCCGAAGUGUUUCUCCAGGUCUGGCCUGUGGCAGUUUUUGAAAUGAGUGUCCUCUUGUGUCCUGCGACUGUGUGACCUCCCUCCCCUAAGGAGCAGAGACCCAGCGUGGCUGCAGAAGUUUCCUUGGCGGUGAGGUAGUAAAAUACAACAGAAGAAGAUGGAACAAAGCCAACUGAGACAGUGCAGUGAAAUUGGCACAGAACUUCACAGCAGCUUACUGAGAUAACAGCAAUAGUUCCUUGCUCCUGGCUGCACAUUGGAACGGAUCAAGGAGCAUUUUUAAAGACAGUGGUGCCAAGAUCUGCUCCUGCAGAGGACCCCUGAUUGUCACACUCAGUUAAAUCCUAAGAGAGUCUAGUGCACAAUAAAGGGUUUGUUGUUGUGUCUCA